rnacentral:rRNA from 1 species
AGUAACUGCGAGUGAACCGGGAAGAGCUCAAAUUUAAAAUCUGGCGGUUUUGCCGUCCGAGUUGUAAUCUGGAGAAGCGUUUUCCGCGUCGGACCGUGUACAAGUCUCUUGGAAUAGAGCGUCAUAGAGGGUGAGAAUCCCGUCCAUGACACGGACUCCCGAUGCUUUGUGAUACGCUCUCAAAGAGUCGAGUUGUUUGGGAAUGCAGCUCAAAAUGGGUGGUAAAUUCCAUCUAAAGCUAAAUAUUGGCGAGAGACCGAUAGCGAACAAGUACCGUGAGGGAAAGAUGAAAAGCACUUUGGAAAGAGAGUUAAACAGUACGUGAAAUUGUUGAAAGGGAAACGCUUGAAGUCAGUCGCGUCGUACGGAGCUCAGCCUUGCUUCUGCUUGGUGUAUUCUCCGUGUCGACGGGUCAACAUCAAUUUUGACCGGUGGAAAAGGGCCUAGGGAAUGUAGCGUUGUUUCGGCGACGUGUUAUAGCCUUAGGUCGUAUGCAUCGGUCGGGAUUGAGGACUGCAGCACGCCCUUGUGGCCGGGGGUUCGCCCUACGUUUGUGCUUAGGAUGUUGGCAAAAUGGCUUUAAGCGACCCGUCUUGAAACACGGACCAAGGAGUCUAACAUGCCUGCGAGUGUUCGGGUGGAAAACCCUUGCGCGUAAUGAAAGUGAAAGUUGGGAUCCUUCGUAAGGGGGUGCACCGACGCCCGGCCCUGACGUUCUCUGACGGUGCUGCGGUAGAGCAUGUAUGUUGGGACCCGAAAGAUGGUGAACUAUGCCUGAAUAGGGUGAAGCCAGAGGAAACUCUGGUGGAGGCUCGUAGCGAUUCUGACGUGCAAAUCGAUCGUCAAAUUUGGG